UCCCCAACUCAGAAUCAGUGAAGUGGAUCUUUCUUAACACUCAAAAUUACAUUUUAUUGAACAGAAAAUUAUCAUUUUUUUAAUUGCAUGGCGUGAAACAGGAAUUAUUUUCAAAUAUAGGACAUAACCUACUAGAACAUCUUUCAGAAUGUAAAUGGUAGCCUAAUACAACAGCCUACAACCUAUGCUAGAACUUUGCAAAGUUGAAUAGUCUUUAUUUCCGCAACGACAAUAUUACUUAAACAGUGUUUUUGAAAAUGUAUGUUUUUACUAAGCUUGUAUGCACAAUCACCGUGAUAUAUAAAACUGUUUUUCCACUUGUCAGAUACAGCAGGUCAACCUCACCACAGCACAUUUCACUGACUUGGACUUAUUAAAGUGUGAAGUAUGUUUAAAAUGUUGCUUAAAAUACGCUUAUUUGAAAGAAAAUGCCCCUAUUCCAAGACCACGCAGCUGAUUUCUUUAAAAGAUAGACAGGAACAUGGGCAGGAUGUUUAUACAGCAAAAUGUAAACAUUUUCCCUGGCCUUCUUUAAAUAAAAAAUCAAGCAAAAAGCCCCGCUAGAUCAGCUCAUACUCAAUCUGAUGCAUUAUGUCCGUUUUAGACAGCUCCUUGUGUAUGGAUAGGACUUUUCAACGUAAAUGCAGAAAGAGAUUUCAAUCAUGUAUAAUUAUUAUGUUCACACAGGAGAACUGAGGGAAAGAGCUCUGAGCCCAGCCGAACAUUGAGCACUGAAACUCGGCUGAGGACUUUAGAUCGACGCCCACCAAACACUCUCUCCUCAGAAUGGUGCUCGAAUCAAGCCCUCUGUGAUGGAUGAGAGAGAGAGGGUUUUCCAGUGAUGGCAACAGUUCCUAUGACAACCAGACCUCCACCGGGGGAUUGCGUCUGUCAGACAGUGCUAAUGAUAAUUGAGAGGGGGAUUUUCCUGUGGCGAGCCGCUUCGGAAAAAGCAAUUAAGAAUUCCCAAACAGUGCACAACAAUGGGAGACGUCGUUCUGCAAUGCAAGUUCCGAAUCCAAGUCAGUCCCUUACGGUUUUCCUCUGAAACGGUCCCUGGCUAUAUUUAAUCCGCCCUGAGAGCAGAACCAACCUACAUACAAACCACAAAUUGAAACUAUGUGGAGGUGGUUUGUGGAGUGUGGGCUAAGUGGGGAUGGUAAUUGUCUAUUGAGAAGCUUAGGCCUCGCUAUUCUGCCUGCAAUAAACAGGCUUGGCAGCCCAUAACAUGAUACCCCUGCCUCCACUCCACUGUUUGAGUUGGGGAGCAGAUCCUCCUUGUCUGUGGGAACCCAUGGCCCAGCAGUGGUCGGAAUCAGUCAGGAAUGCUUUGGAAUGGUAACACAGCGGAAGGCUAGGGUGGGAAAAAGGCCAAGAGCAUUUCCUGAACAGAGGGGGGUCCCAGAGAAGCAUCACACUUCACUGGCAUCAUAUGACAGGGAUCCCACCAGGCCUGAGCCCAUGAUCCCGAUUGGAGGAGAGAGAUGCGGUAGGGGAGAGGAGGGUGAAGCUGGAACAGAAGAGAGGUGGAUACGCAAGAAAGGCAGAGUGGUGAGGUGAGAUGGAUGCAUUGGGAUGUUUGAGUCAGAAAAGGGGAGUCAGGGGGAGAGACACAUUCUGCUAAAAUGUACAUCUUUAAUUUACCCUGAGUGAAGUAAUGCAGUCUGGACUGGCUGGCUGGCUGGGUUUGGAUGAAUGUCUGAGUGUGUUAUACCACUACUUUCAUGAAGAGGACUUCACAGUCUCUAAUUUCUGCCCACAACAAAGUGCCUUCCACUGUAUCUGUGAGGAAUAAACAGUAUAUACUGUCAAGGUCUCCAGAGAGGUCACUGAGACCACGUGGAAGACUGGGAGUUCUUAGACCACUGCUACUGAAAGACCUGCAAGAAUCUGUGCAGCAGUGUGGGGUAUCCUACAUACAUUCUAAAAGACUGUUCCCUCUCACCACAGCAAAGACAAUGUGGUGAAUAUUUUGGCACAGCACAGGCAUGUCAGAAUGAUUCUGAGUAUAUCCAGUUAACUGAAGGUCUGAAAUAUAACUUUACUUAGUAACACGUGAUACUUUGCAACACCCUGCAACAGUAAGUGAUGAAUGCUUUGGUUGAGAGCAGUAGAUCAGACGGUGUUGAAAACUGUGAAGCAGACAGGUUUUGCAGCUGAAAUUGGACAGUACAGUAUAUCUGUCAGAGUGUGUGUGUUUGUCCAGACCUAUGAAUCGGUGUGUGUGUAUCCAGACUGGCGUGGACAGCCAGUCCCUGCUCCCUGGGGCUUGUGUAAAUGUCGUGAGGAUCUCAGGAGGAAUCUUUCCCCUCCAGUCGUCAAAGGGCUUUUUAUUUCCACCUGCUCCCGGCCUCUUUCCGUUGGUCUGCUCUAUAACAAUGGUGCUGGAAAGGCAGCAGAGUGCAGGGUGACAGCACAGAGAUUGAUGCUAGAUUGUGUUUGGCCCUUUUUCAGAUAGGGGCCUUUGAAGGGAAGUUGCACCCCCCCCCACCAACACUACGACCCCUCCACUACCAUAUCCACCUCCUCUCCCUCUAACACUGGGCUUAGCAGAGGGCAAAGUGCUGAUCAGGCCUUUCUCCCAGAUCCCUUUUUACAAAAGUACCAAUCGCCUGAAAAGGCAACUUGGCAGGCGGUGGUAAACAGGCUUUUCACUACUCGUAAAUCAAUUCACCACUACAUGAAACAGGAUGAAGCUCAUUUACGCCACGCAGACGGUCGAACCCGAGCCCAGAGACGCCCCACCUCGCCUCCGGCUGCUCCCUCUCUCUCGUCAGGCCCCGGGGCUCUGGGCAGAAAAGAGCUACACGCUCAUCAGGACAGCAUUCUGUCUGUUUCACCGAAGUGGCCUGGCGAAGAGGGUGAUCCAUCACCUCAAAUGUCUUUUUUUCUAAUGUUCUGUUUUCCUCUCUAUCUCU